rnacentral:ncRNA from 1 species
UAUCCGCUUCUCCUCCCUGAGCGGGUAACCUGGGCCGCUAGGCCCAGGGUCUCGUUUAUCCCCGGGCCCUCUCCCUUGUGCCCGGGGUUUUUUUAU